rnacentral:rRNA from 1 species
UACGAAGGGGGCUAGCGUUGUUCGGAAUUACUGGGCGUAAAGCGCGCGCAGGCGGCUAUCCAAGUCAGUGGUGAAAGCCCGGAGCUCAACUCCGGAGCUGUCAUUGAAACUGUUUAGCUUGAGGACGAGAGAGGUGAGUGGAAUUCCCAGUGUAGAGGUGAAAAUUCGUAGAUAUUGGGAAGAACACCGGUGGCGAAGGCGGCUCACUGGCUCGUUUCUGACGCUCAGGCGCGAUAGCGUGGGGGAUCAAAACAGG